rnacentral:lncRNA from 1 species
UUUUCGGUUACAGGGGCACCAACGUUUGCUAAUUGAUCGGAUAUAACCUUUGUUUCUUGACAAUAGGCAGCCAUGGAUUGAAAGGAGUCGAGUUUAAGGUUUGUAAACUUUUUCUGCAGUAAAACGACACGAGUGGCUUCAUUGUCAUGAAAGAGGCUUUUGAGUGCCGCCCAAGCGUAACAGGCUGUGGAAUCAGGACGGAUAAUGGUGCUUAGUAAGUCAUUUGAUAUGGUCGGGUUGAGGUGUGGACGUGCACUCGGGUUUCAGGGAAAGGUGGUUUAGCACUUGAAAGGCGCGGCAAUGGAUUUUGAAUAAUUCCGCCCACGAAGCAUAUUGGCUGGAUUCGAUUUCGAGAGUGAUCGGAAUGAAGUUUUUGAUGUUGGUAACGGUGAUUGCGGGAUGUGUUUUAGGAUCCAUGGGGUAAUAAGAAGGUUGUUG